AGUGAACGCUGGCGGUAGGCCUAACACAUGCAAGUCGAACGGCAGCACAGUAAGAGCUUGCUCUUACGGGUGGCGAGUGGCGGACGGGUGAGGAAUACAUCGGAAUCUACUUUUUCGUGGGGGAUAACGUAGGGAAACUUACGCUAAUACCGCAUACGACCUACGGGUGAAAGCAGGGGAUCUUCGGACCUUGCGCGAUUGAAUGAGCCGAUGUCGGAUUAGCUAGUUGGCGGGGUAAAGGCCACCAAGGCGACGAUCCGUAGCUGGUCUGAGAGGAUGAUCAGCCACACUGGAACUGAGACACGGUCCAGACUCCUACGGGAGGCAGCAGUGGGGAAUAUUGGACAAUGGGCGCAAGCCUGAUCCAGCCAUACCGCGUGGGUGAAGAAGGCCUUCGGGUUGUAAAGCCCUUUUGUUGGGAAAGAAAAGCAGCAGGUUAAUACCCCGCUGUUCUGACGGUACCCAAAGAAUAAGCACCGGCUAACCUCGUG
rnacentral:rRNA from 1 species